rnacentral:ncRNA from 1 species
UUAAUUGCGUUGAAGAGAAGAGUACAAGGAAUCGGACUUGACAGAGAGCUUCGGGAAUUGAGAAGAAGCAGCAGCGAUUCAUUGGAAGAUGGCCUUGGAGCAAUUGUCUUUACCAGACACGGGAAUGCCCGUUACAGCAGUUCGUAGCAAUACGACACAAGAUCAGUCUUGCAAGAGACUGGUAAACUAAGGUGGUACCACGGCACUCCCGUCCUUUCA